rnacentral:tRNA from 1 species
GCCGAGGUGCUGGAAUUGGUAGACAGGCUGGACUUAGAAUCCAGUGCCCGCAAGGGCGUGAGGGUUCGACUCCCUCUCUCGGCA